ensembl:lncRNA
UUUUUUUUUUUUUUUUUUUGGUUCUUUUUUCCGGAGCUGGGGACCGAACCCAGGGCCUUGCGCUUUCUAGGCAAGCGCUCUGCCACUGAGCCAAAUCCCCAACCCCUGCAUGGUUUUUUUAAAUCCUAUGUCUUGCUCAAUUUUUGGGUCUUUUAUUAUUUUUACAUCUUACCUCUAAAUAUUUAUGUUUUGUUGUUCUUCAGGUUCUUUCACUUAACUGAGAGAUGUUUAUUCAGAUUUUCACUCUCAGAUAAAAUUGGCAGCAUAAUUUUCUUUAAAAGGCAGUAUUAAAGAUCAUUCCUUUAAUAUUCAUUUAUCCCAGUACAGACUUUCCCCUUGGAUUGGCAUUGCUAUUCUGUAGGGCUGGCUUGGUUUGGUUUAAGAUAUAGGAACUCGGCAUGGCAGCCCAUGCCUGUUAUCAUGUGACAGGGAGAGUAGGAAAGAAGGAAGGUCUUACAUUCAAGACCAACCUGGGCUACAAGGCCAGGCCCUCUUCUGAGUAAAAUGUUCUGGGUAUCUGUGUUAUAAAGGUUGAUGACUGUCCCUCGUCAGACUGGCACAGGGAAAUCCUGUCACGUUGCCCACCUAUUCAAUAACCCUGUUGCAUUGGCAUGCCUUGUGACUUGUGGGGAUUUCAAGUACAGCCAGAUAAAUACACUUACAAGUGCAGUGUAGUUCUCAUUGCAGCGCUUCCCUUCUAAGAAUGGUUGACUGUAACAAGCCUCUUAGGUUCCCAACCAGUUUGAAGGUACUCCUCUCAUCCUCUCAUUCAAGUAAGGUACAAAGUAACUCAAGACACAGCAGUUACUAAUUAUCUCUGCAGAUAUGUGUAACUGUCUGAGCAUCUCAUUCAUGAAGGAGUAAGGAGCUUUUUGUUAAAUGUGAAAAUGCUUAAACCUUUGUUUUAUAUGUUCAUAAAUAUCCACACUAGCCUCAGAAUUUUAUGGUUCUUCCCCUGACUCUGAUGCCCUUAAGGAGGCUGAAGAACUGGGAUAUAAAGUCAGUUUUUCCGAGUCUGAUGCUCUUAAGGAGGCAGAAGGACUAGGAUGUGAAGUCAGUGUCUCCUUCCCCUCAUAGAUGGCCUACCGUUCCUUUGUCCAUUUGCCACGGACAUGUCCGCACUGAUGAAUGUCUCCCCAACUAUCACCUCUGUGCCAUAUCUACAGGAUGCCCUGAUUCUCUUCCACUACCGACCACCAGCCCCUGUGGAACCACUGACUUUGAGCUGCAGUGGCCAUCUCCCAUCCCCUGCUUCUCAGGCUCCAAGAGAAGGUCGCACACUGACCUCCAAGCCAAGGCUGGUGACUUUGACCAUUCCUAACGUAUUUCUAUGUGUUUUCCAUGUAAACUCAGUCAAUGAACCUGGCACAAAGUUCAGCCUCUCUGUAAUGUGUGACUGUGGCUGGUGCUCUCACUCUCUCUCAUACUCUUUCUCUCUCGCUUUCUCUCUUGCUCUCUCUCUCUCUCUCACUCUCUCUCUCUCUCUGAAGUUGAUUCCUCCAUGUUACUUCACAGAGACCUGCCAACUAACCAGGGAUGUGAAAGCAUUCACAGUAUUUGUCUAGUAGAGAUGCUGUAUAAAAAAUGCCAAAAAUGAAAAAGAGAAAGAAAGAAAAAGUUAAAGAAAGAUGGAGGAUGGAUGGAUGGAUGGAUGGAUGGAUGUCUAGAGAGUUGAGUCUGGAACUCCAAUGGUUCCAUGUAUUUUUAGUACUUUUUUUAAGUAUCAAAUACACAAUUGACUCUAAAGGAGUUCAAAAAGCAAAAUUUGAACUAUGUGUUGUGAUUAGCUCCUGACUCUCUCUCCAAAAUACACUGUCCCCACUUCCUAAGCUUGUUGUUCUCAACCUUCCCAAUGCUGUGACCCUUUAGUACAGUUGUGGUGACCCCCAACCAUUAAGUGUUUUGUUGCUCCUUCAUAACUGUAAUUUUGAUGCUGUUAUGAAUCAUAAUGUAAAUGUCUGACCUGCAGGAUGGCUGGUGAAGAGCUCCAGAGGGGUCUUGACCCACAGGCUGAGAACCACUGUCUUAACAUGUAAACCGUAAAUGUGUAAAGGAGGACUCUUAACUCAAAGGUUAAACUUUUUAUUUAGAUAUUUUCUUUGUAACUCAAGAAUAAGCCGAGUUUGUGGAAAAUUUAGCAUGGCCACUAAAGCUGUAAUCUGAAAGCCAGGAGAAGAGCCUUUUCAGGAUAUUUUCUCCAAGGACUUUAAACUGUCUCCACUAGGAAGAUCAACUCCUUGAGUAAAAGAAAAGACUCCCAUACCUUUCCAGCAAAGCAUAAAUCUGUCUGCCCUUGUCUGUUCUUGCCUACAGUGUUUCAACAGUUUGUACUGGUGAAGGGGGGAAAAGCACAUUUUAAAUUUUCUUGGAAACGUGAAUUAAUGUGUUAAAUUAAAUUGUCCAGUUUUGUCUAACGAGAAUGAUUCAUUUUGGAGGCGAGCACAGGGCUAUAUGGUCCCUGUUCCACCAUCAACUUUACUGUGUGACCUCAAGCAAAUGAUUGAACUUCUCUGUGCCUCAGUUUCUCCAUAUUACAAGAUGGGGAUAAAGAUUACCAACCACUGCCUACCUCAUAGGGAUGUUUUGGGAACAAGUAAGAUAAUGUAAGGACACAGGCUUUGAUCUCCUUAAACGGUGCUAUAUAAAUUGUGUUGCAUUGUUAAUGAUCCAGUGCAUUGUAUUUAGGAUUAGAUGAUAGCAAUACUUUUUGUCAUGUUUCAGUCGGGGCAUAUUUCUACUCUUCUACGGCCAGAUCACGGUUUUUCAUUUGGUAAUGGUACUUAAGGAACUGACACGGGUGUUUGUUUUCUGUCUCUGAUGCUAAUGUGUCAACUCUGAAUAGUCAUAAAAGGGUGGAGUUUAACUUGUGAUGGCUUCUAGUUCACAUGGAAUGAACCUUCCUCAAGCUGUAUAUUAAAAGUAUAAUUACUUGUAAAUAGCAGGUACAUUGUAAUUAAAGGCACUUAUUAACUUGUCUUUGUUCUUUUUAAAUUGUAAUAAAGGUCAGUUUUAUAUAA